GUGGAGGCUCAGCUCCCACCCCAAGGGCCUUGGGAACCAGGCUGGGAGAGGCUGGAGCAGCGGGCUGCCACCCUGCAGUUCACCACACUCCCAGCAGGCCCGCCUGAUGCCCCUCUGGAUGUGCAGAUCGAGCCUGGGCCCUCCCCUGGGAUCCUGAUCAUCAGUUGGCUCCCAGUCACCAUCGAUGCUGCUGGCACAUCCAACGGUGUCCGGGUCACAGGCUAUGCCAUCUACGCUGAUGGGCAGAAGGUAUGGCCCUGCCCACUGUACCCUGGGAGUGGGGGUGGGUCCCUUCUUGCUAUGCUCAGAGGCCUAGGCUCUCUGGCCUGGCACAGAGAUGCCCAGCCCCUGGCAUUUAGGCACCAUGAGGCAGAUGGGUUA
rnacentral:sRNA from 1 species